GCCUUCGGGGUGUAACGGUAGCACACUCGAAUCGUAUUCGAGAAGUCCAGGUUCGAACCCCCACGAGGGCA
rnacentral:tRNA from 1 species